rnacentral:rRNA from 1 species
AAUGUUGGACAAUGGGGGAAACCCUGAUCCAGCCAUCCCGCGUGUAUGAUGAAGGCCUUCGUUUUAUAAAGUACUUUUGGCAGAGAUGAGAAGGUAUCUCCUAAUACGAGAUACUGCUGACGGUAUCUGCAGAAUAAGCUCCGGCUAACUACGUGCCAGCAGCCGCGGUAAUACGUAGGGUGCAAGCGUUAAUCGGAAUUACUGGGUGUAAAGCGUGUGUAGGCGGUUCGGAAAGAAAGAUGUGAAAUCCCAGGGCUCAACCCUGGAACUGCAUUUUUAACUGCCGAGCUAGAGUAUGUCAGAGGGGGGUAGAAUACCACGUGUAGCAGUGAAAUGCGUAGAUAUGUGGAGGAAUACCGAUGGCGAAGGCAGCCCCCUGGGAUAAUACUGACGCUCAGACGCGAAAGCGUGGGGAGCAAACAGG